CUGAACUGAUAAAAAUUGUGAUGUCUUGGUUCGUGUCCCCACUGCUUUCUGGAAUUAUGUCUGGAAUUUUAUUCUUCCUGGUUCGUGCAUUCAUCCUCCAUAAGGCAGAUCCAGUUCCUAAUGGUUUGCGAGCUUUGCCAGUUUUCUAUGCCUGCACAGUUGGAAUAAACCUCUUUUCCAUCAUGUAUACUGGAGCACCGUGGCUGAAAUCUCCUAGAAGGUGGCUGGCCUGCGCCCAUUUCAGAAGGCUGCAGGCUAGUGUACGCUGAGUUAACCUAGAUAGUUUUUCAACCAAAGAGACCUGCUCAGAUUCUAAAUCACUACAGACCUUUCCUCUUUAGUCUUCACAGGAUCCACUGAUAAUAUGAUCAUCUCCUUCCCUUUCUCCUGUCUAUGCUAAAAAUGCUGGAAUUAAUACUGACCUCAACUACUGAAGUCAUUAGUUAUAUCUGAUCUUCAGUAAUCAGUCAUUUAGGACUGGUUUGCUGGAUAUUCUCAUUUUUCUCUCCCAAAUGGAGAUACUAUUGUUUCUAAGUACUAAACUUCCAUGAAUCUGCUUGAAUGAGAAGAGUUGGGAUGUUUACCACCUGCUCUAAGUGCACUUGGAAGAAGAAAUUCAUGCAGCUAAGAGGAAAAAUAAUUUGUGAGAAUAUAAAGGUUGAAAUGUU
rnacentral:lncRNA from 1 species